ensembl:lncRNA
UUAAACCAUUUGAGAAAUAGAUUAUCUUGCUUUGCUGGACUACUGCAAUCAAAUAUGUUCAAAGAUUCUUGUGUGUCUCAUCCAUGUAUGAAUGGAACCAUCCAUGAAUAUAUGGAACCACAGAGCGAGUAGGAGAACAUGAGAAGUCAAGAGACUGAUUCAAGGCCACCCAGCUAGUCAACAGCAGAUUUGAGUUCCUGUUCUUGAUGACCUAACCUCAAGUCUGGUCCUCUUAUUCUGUAUUAUUUCCAGUGCAGUGUACAUCUCCAAGGGGAUGGUCAGGUGUUCAAACAAGAAUCCAAACAUUGCCAAGGCCCAGUGACUCUUGUUCUAGUUGUCUUAUGGGUGAUUGGGAGGGUGACAAAGAACAAAUAUUUGCCAAAGUAUCAUGAAUAAGCUCAGUUUGGAAUAAACUUUGAUAUGCAAAUGACAGAGGGUGGUUGAAAACAUAGAAAGAACUUUCUUUCUUUAACAAAAUUUAAAUCAGUUAUAAAACAGACAGGGUCAGGCAAACCAUUUAAGAAACUGGCAUUCUCCAUAAUGUCUCAUUGCUUUGGGGCUAUUGCAUUGGAAUUGGAGCUUUGAUAAAGUCUGUGAAGAAUAAAGGCAAGAGAAAAGAGGGCUGCAGACAAAUGAAAACCUGGGCUGUGUCUUGAGAGUUUUAGGUAAUCCAGGCUCAUAAUUUGAUUUGAGAAGAGCUACUCCAGGCUACUGUGUAAUUAUGGAAGCAUUCACUCAGCUGGCUCCUGUUGACUUCAUCACGUUCUACUUCAUUGCCCUUUAUGCUAAAGCCCCUGUUGAUGAGAGGGCGGAAACAAUAAUCAGCGAUGGACCACAGACGAUGAUCGAUGCUUCCGUGUUGCCUGGAGCCUCUGCACCUGAUGCCAUUUGAAACUCCUGCAGGAAAUGCUGGGCAUCCUAUUCCAGGGGGUCCUUGGAGCCAAUGGCAAAUUCCUCUUGCUCGCUCAAAAGGCACACUUCCUGUUGUUUUGAGUGGUCUGUCCAAAGCCCAGAUUUGAAAAUGUUUAAAGGGAGAAUAAAAAACAUUUAGAAAUUCA